AACGUUUCGAAGGACGCUAAUACCGCAUACGUCCUACGGGAGAAAGCAGGGGACCUUCGGGCCUUGCGCUAUCAGAUGAGCCUAGGUCGGAUUAGCUAGUUGGUGAGGUAAUGGCUCACCAAGGCGACGAUCCGUAACUGGUCUGAGAGGAUGAUCAGUCACACUGGAACUGAGACACGGUCCAGACUCCUACGGGAGGCAGCAGUGGGGAAUAUUGGACAAUGGGCGAAAGCCUGAUCCAGCCAUGCCGCGUGUGUGAAGAAGGUCUUCGGAUUGUAAAGCACUUUAAGUUGGGAGGAAGGGCAGUAAAUUAAUACUUUGCUGUUUUGACGUUACCGACAGAAUAAGCACCGGCUAACUCUGUGCCAGCAGCCGCGGUAAUACAGAGGGUGCAAGCGUUAAUCGGAAUUACUGGGCGUAAAGCGCGCGUAGGUGGUUCGUUAAGUUGGAUGUGAAAUCCCCGGGCUCAACCUGGGAACUGCAUCCAAAACUGGCGAGCUAGAGUAUGGUAGAGGGUGUUGAAAUUUCCUGUGUAGCGGUGAAAUGCGUAGAUAUAGGAAGAACCCCCGUGAAAAGGA
rnacentral:rRNA from 1 species